rnacentral:rRNA from 1 species
AACGAACGCUGGCGGCAUGCCUAACACAUGCAAGUCGAACGAGACCUUCGGGUCUAGUGGCGCACGGGUGCGUAACGCGUGGGAACCUGCCCUUAGGUUCGGAAUAACUCCCCGAAAGGGGUGCUAAUACCGGAUAAUGUCUUCGGACCAAAGAUUUAUCGCCUUUGGAUGGGCCCGCGUUGGAUUAGCUAGUUGGUAGGGUAAAAGCCUACCAAGGCGACGAUCCAUAGCUGGUCUGAGAGGAUGAUCAGCCACACUGGGACUGAGACACGGCCCAGACUCCUACGGGAGGCAGCAGUGGGGAAUAUUGGACAAUGGGCGAAAGCCUGAUCCAGCAAUGCCGCGUGAGGGAUGAAGGCCUUAGGGUUGUAAAGCUCUUUUACCCGGGAUGAUAAUGACAGUACCGGGAGAAUAAGCGCCGGCUAACUCCGUG